rnacentral:rRNA from 1 species
UACGGGGGGGGGCAAGCGUUGUUCGGAAUUACUGGGCGUAAAGGGCUCGUAGGUGGCCAACUAAGUCAGACGUGAAAUCCCUCGGCUUAACCGGGGAACUGCGUCUGAUACUGGAUGGCUUGAGGUUGGGAGAGGGAUGCGGAAUUCCAGGUGUAGCGGUGAAAUGCGUAGAUAUCUGGAGGAACACCGGUGGCGAAAGCGGCAUCCUGGACCAAUUCUGACGCUGAGGAACGAAAGCCAGGGGAGCAAACGGG